AAAAAAACGAGAAGACCUAAAGCUAACCUAACAAAAAGAAGCAUCAGCCGUGAAUACACAAAAUGGGGGAACCUAGAGCUAACACCAAGAAAAAUGCCUAAAAACCUAGGGACUAAGAUUCUGACAAUCCGCCGUUUUCCCUGAAAACGAGAACUCUCCAUCAUUAUGCUCCUUCUUCAACCAAACGACUACUCUUGUAACCAUCGCCGUUCACACAACCCAGCGACCACCCAUCAACCUUCAGACACCCAAAAGGCCCUUCCAACAACCCUUCCAUAUCCUCACUCUAAAACGAGCAACCCCGGCCAGAACCCCAUCUCCCAGUCGUCUCCUCUUCUUCUUCAACCAAGACAACACCAAAAACAAAACCUAACUCAAAAACCUAGCUGCAGCCAAAUAUAUGAUCUUUUAAUAAUUGAAUGUUAAGCUAAAGGUUGAAAAUAGAGGGUUAGUUCAUGCGCUGAAAAACUAGAAACCAACAAAGUUCUUGCCACUCCUCUCAAUCGUCGAACUAACAGAGGAAGGGAGAACGACAAAGAUUCAUUUGUUUCCCUCUUUGAUGGGUUUGACAACGGCAACCUGAUUGAAGCUUUCUAAUAUUAAUUGGUUUACCUUACCAUGAACAAACUGGAUUAGGAAAUGAGUAAUAUUUAUAUUCAAAUCCUAAAAGUCAAGAAAAGUAGUAGUUUCGGUAGUACCAUGAUGGCAAAUUGUUUCCUAAGAGAACGAGUUCAGUUCGUCGAAUUUCGGAUCUCGUCGAUUAUUGGAUUUUUCGGUGAGGUUCAAUCGAACGAUGACAUUCGAGGUUAUUUUCAUGGUUUUUGGAUCAAUCUCUUGCUCUUGUUGCAUUUUUUCCAGUCAGAUUUCAAUCGUCGGAUUUGAUGUAACUGAAUUCUUGUUAAUAGAAAGGAAAGCUUGCCAAGGUCCAUUUCUUUUCACUAAUCCUACUUGAUUUCUCUUUAUGUUCCCUUUUUUCUAAUAUCUUUUUUUUGGUUUGAUUGCUUCUUCAUUGUUUUGCUACAUAAGUAAUUCAUGAUUUAUAGUCAACUACUUGAAAAUACUACUGUAUUAGCUAAGAUGAAGAGGCCAACAUCAUAUUCUUCGUUGUUUACCUUUUAACUCUUUGGCUUCCUUCUAAAUGGUUGGUUGAUUGCUAUAUUCAAUUAAUUCCAUGUAUGUGAUGGUUAGUUAAUAAAGACAUAGCACCAAUUCAUUAAUUAAAAGAAGGAUAAAGGAAUGGACAUUAGUUGGGUCGUGGGAGUGGUUUUAGAUGAGAUAGGAAUCUGGUUAAUUGUGAAUUAAACGGGUUUGAGCUUUGGUCACAGUCAACACAUGUCAAUUGGGUUUAACAUUAAUUUUACCUUUAUUUUGUUUGUUUAACCGAUAGGAGCAUACUUAGGCCGACCACACUUGGGGAAGGCAAACUUUUCGGAGGGUAAUAAAUCAUCGUGAUUAUGGGUACGGUUCCCGUGGCAUGGUCACGAUACGUUAUAAAUUAGGGUGUGCAUUUCAUGUGACCCGGCUCCAAUUUCCAAUAAGGUUAAAUAGAUCACGUCGUGAACUGCAGGUGCAUUUCAUGUAGCAUGGCUUACGAUGUGUUUUGAAUAACUUUGAAUUUUCCUGCAAUAUUAGAAGCGUCUAAAAGGUUAAAAAGUGCACAUAAGUUUAAAAGUGUUUUAAAAUCAGAUAAAUAGUCCAAUAAUAAUAGUUGAGAGACCUUGCUAGAACCACGAAACUCGAGAAUUCCUAACACCUUCUCCUGGGUUAACAGAAUUCCAUACCCUGAUUUCUAUGUUCGCAGACUGUAAAACAGAGUCAAUCUUUCCUCGAUUCGGGAUUUGAACCGGUGACUUGGGACACCAUAAAUUAUCCCAAGUGGUGACUCUGAAUAAAUAAAUAAUCCCGUUUCGAUUGUCACUUAAAUUUGACAAAACUUCCUUAAUACCCUUCUGGUGGUAGAAAAAGGAGGUGUGAUAGCUCUGGCGACUCUGCUGCGGAUCGAACCCAAAAUCUCCGAUUCAGGGUUCAGAAUUCGAGCUUAGAAUAACUGUUAUAGUUGGCUUUUCUUUAUUAUCUGAUUUUUGUAUGUUUGAGCCUAAUGUGCUAAUUACCACUUUUUACCGCUUUGAUAUUGUUUGGAUUGUAUAUAAAUUGUUACAAAAUCCUCCUCUCUCUGAGUCUUCUAAAUCAUCUGGGAAGUGUGCACUUCGUGUGACUUCUCUUCUAUUAGAGUCAUAUCCCAAUUUAGAACGAGGUUCGGACAAGUUGCAAAGCCGGUGAAGCUUCUGAUUCUCGGUACGCUGCCCUCCCUCGGCUCGAGCUGUCCGCUCCGGUAAGCCAGGUCUAGAACAAAUAAAUCCAGGUUUUUAAACCUAGAAUAACAUAGCGUCAUGCCGGAUCCCUAGUAGGAACGUUUGUUGCAUCACGUGCAUUUGACUUAGGGGACUCAACACAUAAGUUGGGUCCGUCUAGGACAAGUAUACCCAAAAAUAAAAGACCAUCCUGAUGCAUCUAAUGUGAUACAUGUUGCAAUCUUCAAGGGUAAAAGGGGUCAUUUGGCGGACCAAUGAUGGUUGAGGGUAAAUGAGAAAGAAAAGAGGGUGAAGUGUGAAAAUAAAGCAAGUACGGCCCAGUUAUGUUUUUCUUUCACAUUUAUUUUAAGAAAAAGACCAAAACAAAAAUGAAAAAUCCAUAAAGAUAUUGCACUUUCCCAUCAUUUUCCAAAAAAUAAAUGAAAAAGAAAAAAGAAAAAAUACAAAAAGUGUUUACAUGUUUCAUCAUUUUUCAAAAAAAGACAAAAAAUAUAUUUUUUCUAAAUUUGUUGUUUUUUUUAAUUCUCGCCCGUAUCCAAUCUUUCCGAACUACGCGAACCUAAUUCUUGUCUCUCGGGGCAUGAUACGUAGGCAACCCACGUAGGGUUCGGUCUUCCUUGUAAGUCUUAGGUUCUUGGCUUCGCGGAGUCUUGGCCAAAUCUUGUAUGUCUAGCCACUUUUGGCCACAUCGGUCAUUUUGCAAAAUAUGACUAUUUUCGUAAAGUGGUUUGUUUAAUUGUGUUUGGAGAGUCUUCAAUCCACAAUUAGGUGUCUCUUCACUUUAAGGCCCAUCCUUGUCAAAUUUGCGUGUCUAGCCGCUUUUGGCCACAUUGGCCAUUGUUGCAAAUGGGGUCAUAUUCGCAAAAGUGGUUCAGUGACCCAUGUUUUUGAGUUCUAAGUCCACAACAAGGUGUUCUCUCUGUUUAAGGUCCAUUGUGUUGAAUUUUCAUGCUUAGCCAUUUUUGUCCACAUAGACCAUUUUUAUAAAAUGGGUCAUUUCUGCAAAGUAAUUUUUCCAUGCCUUAGAGGUCACUUUUGUCGAGUUGAAAUCCUAGCCACCUUUUGGCCACAUUAGCCAUUUUGCAAAAUAGCCUCAAUCAUGUCUUGCAUGCGUCUAAUAGGGAGUGUUAUUCUCUCACAUAGUGUUCUAAGUCUUUAACUCUAUUUGGUUUUAGUUUUUCAUACAAGUGUGGAUCUACUUACCGGAGAUUGAGCAUGACAGGUACCCCGAGACCAUCAAGUCAGGACCGAUGCAUCCAGGAGUUGCUUAAGGAGAUUUUUUUAUGUUUGAGUCUGUUUUUAUGUAUUGUCUUGUAAUUUAUAGUCAUGUUCAAUUGUACUGAUAUUUUUAGAUGGUGUCAGAUUUGUUGUAGUAUAGUUGAGUUUG
rnacentral:lncRNA from 1 species